rnacentral:rRNA from 1 species
AAUGAACGCUGGCGGCGGGCCUAAUACAUGCAAGUCGAGCGGCCGCACGAGGAGCUUGCUCCUCUACCGUUAGCGACGGACGGGUGAGUGACACGUGCAUAACCUACCUCUAAUACGGGGGUGACUUCGGGAAGAAGGAGCUACUACCAGCUAAUAUGUUGAACCGCAGAGAUCAGUAGUGCAAGACAGUUUGGCUGUCACUUAGAGAUGGAGCCGCGCCAGAUUAGCUAGUUGGUAAGGUAACGGCCUACCAAGGCAACGAUGCGUAGCCGAUCUGAGAGGGUGAUCGGCCACACUGGAACUGAGACACGGUCCAGACUCCUACGGGAGGCAGCAGUAGGGAAUAUUGCGCAAUGGGCGCAAGCCUGACGCAGCAACGCCGCGUGAGUGAUGAAGGUCUUCGGAUUGUAAAACUCUUUUAUUAGGGAAGAAAAACAGUGUAAGAAACCCUGGCUGUCUUGACGGUACCCAAUCAGAAAGCCCCGGCUAACUACGUG